rnacentral:rRNA from 1 species
AUGGACAAUCUACUCUCUCCGUCCUCCUGCUUCCUUCCACCCUCGGCGUCCUCCCAAUUCUCCACGGUGGGCCAACACGUGGUCGAGUUCGUGCCCCUGCUUCACGAGCAAUGGCCGUUCGACGACGGCACGAUGUCCCAGAACGAGGACAGGGAGCUGUGGGCGCCUAUGGGGAGCACUCUUCCCCGGAGCCCUGAGCUCUCGGAGCUGCCGUCGAGCGUCACGGCAACGCCGCUGUCCAAUGGCCGAGCGGCAGGCCGCGACAAAUUGGACCGUCGAUUUUGCGACCUCCGCGCUGUCGUCCCCAACGUGUCCCGUAUGGACAAGGCAUCACUCCUUGCUGACGCUGCCACCUACAUCGGAGAGCUACGCACCCGCGUAGCGCACCUCGAGGACGAGGCCAACAAGACAUUGGAGAAGGGAGCUGCGGCCGCCGCUUCUCGCGGUGGUACAGCUUCCAAGUUCCUGCAGGUAGAUGAAACGGUGGACGUGCGGAUGGUGGGACGAGACGGGGCCGCCGUGCGUGUGACCACCACUGCCACCCACGCUCCCGCGCAGCUGAUGGGCGCCCUCCGGUCACUGGAGCUGCAGGUGCAGCAUGCCUGCGUUAGCCACGUGCAGGGCGUGACCCUGCAAGACGUCCUCGUGGACGUGCCAACCUCGAUGCAGGACGCCGACGACCUCCGCUCGGCGCUGCUCCAGGCGCUGCAGGACAGCUAG